AGAGGUGCCCAAAUGUUUGGACAAAGAGACAAGCUGUCAGAACUGUCUUAAGGAAUAGGAGGUUUUUGAUUGGAAGGUCUCCACCUUUCUUUCUAUGAAUAGGACAUGCAUCCCAAGUGCAGAUGGUUCAACACAUAUCACGCCUUACAUGACAGAGACCAUCACACGUGAUAGCAGGAGAUUCGAAAAGAGAGAGAGAGAAUGACUCACCUAACCUGAUCCAGUUAAAGUUCACUUGAGAACCAACCUCUUAGAAAUUGACUACAAGAGACCUCACAUCCAGCUGAUAAUCCUUCACUUUAUAAGGCUUUCACUUCAACUACAAAGCAUCAACUGCAUUUAAGAAACUACAGGCUUGCCACAAAAGAGACUAAGGCUGUAAGAAGCCAUCUUGUGUGUGUGAGACACAAUAGCAGCACACAGUUCUCAGUGGAAACAGCCAUGAACCCCCCAAGAAGAACCCUCAGACAUCAGAGGGGUUUUCUCUCUGCCACUGGGAGUCAAAGAACAAGGGAUUAAGAAAUCAACUGCUGUUCUGCUGAAAGAAUCCAGGCAAUCUUCGAGUGUUUUAAACGCAGAGCUAGUGGGAACAAGAAAUCUUCUCUCUCUCCCAGAACCUGCUUGGUCUGCAGAGCCCACCCAAAAAGACAAAUACCGACUAAUCAACUGCAAAAGCCAUUGAAACUAAGGAUCAACUCCUACCAACACCACAAAAAGACAACAGGAAUCAAGGACAAGCAGGAUAAAGGCUGAGAAGAGGGAAGAAUGAUGAAAAAGGGAAAGGAACACAGAAAGUGGGCUUAUUUUAUUUUCCAACUAUAUAUUUUUUUUACUAACAUUGAUGAUGUCCCUGGUUUUCCAUGUUAAAAAGUAACCUCUUGAGCUGCCUUUUAAAAGGAAGGAGGACUUGCAUUUAUAUAAUGCUUUUCAUGGCAACUGGACAUUUCAAAGCCCUUUACAGCCACUGAAGUACUUUUUGAAGUGUUAUCGCUGCUGUAAUGUUUAAUAAAUUUAAUGUUAAUAACUAUUCUCCCAACAGCCCUGGAACCAUCUGGCAGGUGCUUCAUGCACACAAUCCCUUUGGGGUAUUUCUUGUUAUUCCUCAGUUAGGUGUAACCUGGCUUCAUUGUCAUUUGUAUUUAGAGCCACUGCUUCAAUAACCUUUAGAGAAUGUUUUGUAAGUGUAUGUUUGUUAAGUCAAUUAGGCCCCAAAGGGACAUUCAUAGCUGUCAGAAAGUCACUAGUAUAGUUUUCCAGUGCUAUUUAUGAGCACACAACAUAAUGACUUAAUUCAGUUCAAAACAUUAUUGCAUUACUUGUGUCUGAAAUCUUAUAAUAACAUGAUAUGCAGCUCUCCUAGUGAUGUACAAUUCUCCCAAUGAUGUAAUACAGAUCUGCUACGGUUGUUGUGUUCUAUCUU